AGACCCGAAACCCGGUGAUCUAGCCAUGGGCAGGUUGAAGGUUGGGUAACACUAACUGGAGGACCGAACCGACUAAUGUUGAAAAAUUAGCGGAUGACCUGUGGCUGGGGGUGAAAGGCCAAUCAAACCGGGAGAUAGCUGGUUCUCCCCGAAAGCUAUUUAGGUAGCGCCUCGUGAAUUCAUCUCCGGGGGUAGAGCACUGUUUCGGCUAGGGGGCCAUCCCGGCUUACCAACCCGAUGCAAACUGCGAAUACCGGAGAAUGUUAUCACGGGAGACACACGGCGGGUGCUAACGUCCGUCGUGAAGAGGGAAACAACCCAGACCGCCAGCUAAGGUCCCAAAGUCAUGGUUAAGUGGGAAACGAUGUGGGAAGGCCCAGACAGCCAGGAUGUUGGCUUAGAAGCAGCCAUCAUUUAAAGAAAGCGUAAUAGCUCACUGGUCGAGUCGGCCUGCGCGGAAGAUGUAACGGGGCUAAACCAUGCACCGAAGCUGCGGCAGCGACACUGUGUGUUGUUGGGUAGGGGAGCGUUCUGUAAGCCUGUGAAGGUGUGUCGUGAGGCAUGCUGGAGGUAUCAGAAGUGCGAAUGCUGACAUAAGUAACGAUAAAGCGGGUGAAAAGCCCGCUCGCCGGAAGACCAAGGGUUCCUGUCCAACGUUAAUCGGGGCAGGGUGAGUCGACCCCUAAGGCGAGGCCGAAAGGCGUAGUCGAUGGGAAACGGGUUAAUAUUCCCGUACUUGGUGUUACUGCGAAGGGGGGACGGAGAAGGCUAUGUUGGCCGGGCGACGGUUGUCCCGGUUUAAGCGUGUAGGCUGGUUUUCCAGGCAAAUCCGGAAAAUCAAGGCUGAGGCGUGAUGACGAGGCACUACGGUGCUGAAGCAACAAAUGCCCUGCUUCCAGGAAAAGCCUCUAAGCAUCAGGUAACAUCAAAUCGUACCCCAAACCGACACAGGUGGUCAGGUAGAGAAUACCAAGGCGCUUGAGAGAACUCGGGUGAAGGAACUAGGCAAAAUGGUGCCGUAACUUCGGGAGAAGGCACGCUGACACGUAGGUGAAGUGAUUUACUCAUGGAGCUGAAGUCAGUCGAAGAUACCAGCUGGCUGCAACUGUUUAUUAAAAACACAGCACUGUGCAAACACGAAAGUGGACGUAUACGGUGUGACGCCUGCCCGGUGCCGGAAGGUUAAUUGAUGGGGUCAGCGCAAGCGAAGCUCCUGAUCGAAGCCCCGGUAAACGGCGGCCGUAACUAUAACGGUCCUAAGGUAGCGAAAUUCCUUGUCGGGUAAGUUCCGACCUGCACGAAUGGCGUAAUGAUGGCCAGGCUGUCUCCACCCGAGACUCAGUGAAAUUGAACUCGCUGUGAAGAUGCAGUGUACCCGCGGCAAGACGGAAAGACCCCGUGAACCUUUACUAUAGCUUGACACUGAACAUUGAGCCUUGAUGUGUAGGAUAGGUGGGAGGCUUUGAAGUGUGGACGCCAGUCUGCAUGGAGCCGACCUUGAAAUACCACCCUUUAAUGUUUGAUGUUCUAACGUGGACCCGUUACCCGGGUUGCGGACAGUGUCUGGUGGGUAGUUUGACUGGGGCGGUCUCCUCCUAAAGAGUAACGGAGGAGCACGAAGGUUGGCUAAUCCUGGUCGGACAUCAGGAGGUUAGUGCAAUGGCAUAAGCCAGCUUGACUGCGAGCGUGACGGCGCGAGCAGGUGCGAAAGCAGGUCAUAGUGAUCCGGUGGUUCUGAAUGGAAGGGCCAUCGCUCAACGGAUAAAAGGUACUCCGGGGAUAACAGGCUGAUACCGCCCAAGAGUUCAUAUCGACGGCGGUGUUUGGCACCUCGAUGUCGGCUCAUCACAUCCUGGGGCUGAAGUAGGUCCCAAGGGUAUGGCUGUUCGCCAUUUAAAGUGGUACGCGAGCUGGGUUUAGAACGUCGUGAGACAGUUCGGUCCCUAUCUGCCGUGGGCGCUGGAGAACUGAGGGGGGCUGCUCCUAGUACGAGAGGACCGGAGUGGACGCAUCACUGGUGUUCGGGUUGUCAUGCCAAUGGCACUGCCCGGUAGCUAAAUGCGGAAGAGAUAAGUGCUGAAAGCAUCUAAGCACGAAACUUGCCCCGAGAUGAGUUCUCCCUGAGACUUAGAGUCUCCUGAAGGAACGUUGAAGACGACGACGUUGAUAGGCCGGGUGUGUAAGCGCAGCGAUGCGUUGAGCUAACCGGUACUAAUGAACCGUGAGGCUUAACCUUACAACGCCG
rnacentral:rRNA from 2 species